rnacentral:pre_miRNA from 14 species
AAGUGGGUCUCCAGAGAAGAGGAUGGUCGCCUAUCUCAGACGAGCCCACAAAUGAAAGACCCCUGGAGCAGGAAGACCCUCACUCAAGUCUAGGGAUGACGUGCCUCCCCCAAGAACUCAUGAGAGACC